GUGCUCGCUUCGGCAGCACAUAUACUAAAAUUGGAAUGAUACAGAGAAGAUUAGCAUGGCUCCUGCACAAGGAAGUGUUCCUUUUUUUUUUUUUUUCAUUUUU
rnacentral:snRNA from 1 species